UCUGUAAUGAGAUCUGAUGCCCUCUUCUG
rnacentral:piRNA from 2 species